GUCUUGGGCUCCAGUUGAGGUGCAGAAGCCGGGGCCUGGGUCUGUCAAGCCAGCCAUGGGCACAGCAGACCUGAGUCCUGUCAGAGGAGCAGGUGGAUGAAGAGAUGGCUGCUUGAGCCGAACUGCACUGAAGACCCUAAGGGUUAGUGGCUCUCUACCUGUUGUUCCCUGACAGGAACACCAGGUGGUCAGACAGCAUAAUGAUUGCAUACCCAGCAGAACAUCCUGGAACCGUAUAGAUAUGGGAAGGGGCCCCUCUGUCGUUUCCACUGAAGGUUCAUGCCAACACCCAGGAAGAGGUAGAAAAUUCCACCCCCCCCUUCAUUUCUCCUGAUGGGCAAUGAAACAACAUGGCUUUCAGCUAGGAACAUUUAUUGAACACCCGAAACAAAAGAAGUGAAUGUCAGAGGGCAUACAUAACCCCCUGGGCUGUGAUCUCUAAAUUCUACGUUCAGGAGCCCUGACUGUGGACAUUGAGGGAAUGAAGAAAGCAUUGACGCAGAGAAACACAAUACAGCAGGCUCAGGUGGGGCUUUCUAGCGGCU
rnacentral:lncRNA from 1 species